AAGUCGUAACAAGGUUUCCGUAGGUGAACCUGCGGAAGGAUCAUUACUGAGUGCGGGCCCUCUGGGUCCAACCUCCCACCCGUGUAUACCGUACCCUGUUGCUUUGGCGGGCCCGCCAGCCUGGCCGCCGGGGGGCAUCCGCCCCCGGGCCCGCGCCCGCCGAAGACACCCUGAACGCUGUCUGAAGAUUGCAGUCUGAGCGAUAAGCACAAAUUAGUUAAAACUUUCAACAACGGAUCUCUUGGUUCCG
rnacentral:misc_RNA from 1 species